UGUAGCUCAGUGAUAAAGUGUCUGCUUGACAUGCAUGAGGCCCUGGGUUAGAUCCCCAGCA
rnacentral:tRNA from 1 species